rnacentral:rRNA from 1 species
AUGGCGGCCGUACAGCGCCUGCUCCGCUCCUCCUCCGUCGCCGCGGCGGGCAGGAGGCGCAUGGCGACGUCGCUGGCGCCCGGGCAGGCGCCCGCGGCACCCGCGGCGGCGCCGGCCUUCCCGUUCGCGGGGGCCGAGAGGAGGCGCCGGCCGGCGCACGAGAGGAACGUGCAGUGGGUCUUCCUGGGCUGCCCCGGCGUCGGCAAGGGCACCUACGCCAGCCGCCUCUCCCGCCUCCUCGGCGUGCCCCACAUCGCCACCGGCGACCUCGUCCGCGACGAGCUCGCCUCCACCGGCCCGGACGCCGUGCAGCUUAAGGAAAUUGUUAAUCAAGGAAAGCUGGUUUCUGAUGAAAUUAUCAUCAAUCUCUUAUCUAAACGGCUUAAGAAAGGAGAAGAGAAAGGCGAAUCAGGGUUUAUUCUUGACGGUUUUCCACGCACCGUAAACCAAGCGGAAAUUCUUGACGGAGUUACAGACAUUGAUAUGGUGGUUAAUCUGAAGUUGAGAGAAGAUAUCAUAGUACAGAAGUGCCUUGGUAGACGGAUUUGUGGCCAAUGUGGUAAGAACUUCAAUUUGGCCUGCAUUGAUGUCAAGGCCGAAAAUGGGCUACCACCGAUCUACAUGUCACCAUUGUUACCCCCCAAUAACUGCAUGUCGAAGCUUCUUACUCGAGACGACGACACCGAAGAGGUUGUUAGAAACCGCCUACGGAUCUACAAUGAAAUGAGUCAACCUGUGGAGGAUUUCUACCAGAAGCAGGGAAAGGUUCUCGAGUUCGAUUUACCCGGAGGAAUCCCUGAAUCUUGGCCAAAGCUGCUCGAUGUUCUGAAUCUCGAGGACCAGCAGGAGAUGAAGUUGGCCGCGGCGUAA